rnacentral:rRNA from 1 species
UACGAAGGGGGCUAGCGUUGCUCGGAAUCACUGGGCGUAAAGGGUGCGUAGGCGGGUCUUUAAGUCAGGGGUGAAAUCCUGGAGCUCAACUCCAGAACUGCCUUUGAUACUGAAGAUCUUGAGUUCGGGAGAGGUGAGUGGAACUGCGAGUGUAGAGGUGAAAUUCGUAGAUAUUCGGAAGAACACCAGUGGCGAAGGCGGCCCGCUGGACAUGUAUUGGACGCUGAGGUGCGAAAGCGUGGGGAGCAAACAGG